UCCCUGGUAGCUUAGACGGUAAAGCAUCUGCCUGCGAUGCAGGAGACCUGGGUUUGAUCUCUGGGUCGGGAA
rnacentral:tRNA from 1 species